CACUACAAAACUCAUCCCUCCUUGCCAGGAUAGUGAUGCGAGAUCUUCCUACGCCCAGCAGUAUACAAGCGAACUUCCAUCUUAGAAGAGAGGGAACUCUCCACGUCACGUGCCAAGAGCUGACAUCAAAUAGGGAGGAGAGUGUCACGAUCGGCAUCAGCUGAUAACAUGGCUAACGUGCAAGCAUUAUGUGACCAAUACAUCCUGUGCCAGUAAAUCAAAUAUCAUCAUGUGGUUAUGUUGGAUGUGUUGUCCGCCACUGUUGCGUAUGAUGAAUGGCAAACAUUCUAACUUCAUAUUACAAGAUUAACAUUUUCAUUUCAAACAUUGUUUUGUGAGACAGCUGUUCUGUGUUUGCAGCAUAAUGUGGUGAGUUGUCUCCCUUAGGUGAUUGUGAAGGUUAUGCAUUUGUUGGUGGAUUGCAGAUUCCAUUAAAUCUCGUUAAAUGUUCCACUCUAUUGUGAUACAGCUCUGUAGGAAGAUCUGGUCACACCAUGAUAGGUGAAAGUAGUCAGGCUUCAAAAUUCUUCUUUGAUAGGCAUUUUAAAAGUUGAGUUGAUGAAGAAUAAUGACAAUUAUUAUGGAUAUACAACUUCUUUUAUUCUGUGGAGGCGAUGUUUCGACAUAGAUUCUAUUAAUGUCGUUGUCAAAAUUCGUGAUGAUUAGUAAAGAAAGCAUUCAGACCAGCGUAUCUGAUUUCUGAAGUGUGAACAUAGAUAUAUACUGUACAGGUCCAAAUGCAGUAAAGAAAAGCUGUUGUGUGAUGAUGUAGAUUUUUUCUACACCAUGUAGUUUUGUACCACAUAGCAUCUCUACCCCCAUGGUUAACACUGUCAAUAGUGAA